rnacentral:miRNA from 1 species
UGACAUGCGGCAAUUUUUACAG